rnacentral:rRNA from 1 species
AUACGGAGGGUGCAAGCGUUACUCGGAAUCACUGGGCGUAAAGCGCGCGCAGGCGGCUAUUUAAGUUGGAUGUGAAAGCCUACGGCUCAACCGUAGAACUGCAUCCAAAACUAUUUAGCUAGAGUGUGGGAGAGGAAGAUGGAAUUAGUUGUGUAGGGGUAAAAUCCGUAGAGAUAACUAGGAAUACCAAAAGCGAAGGCAAUAUUCUGGAACACUACUGACGCUGAGGCGCGAAAGCGUGGGGAGCAAACAGGAUUAGAAACCCUAGUAGUCC